rnacentral:rRNA from 1 species
GACGAACGCUGGCGGCGUGCUUAACACAUGCAAGUCGAACGAAGAGCGAUGGAAGCUUGCUUCUAUCAAUCUUAGUGGCGAACGGGUGAGUAACGCGUAAUCAACCUGCCCUUCAGAGGGGGACAACAGUUGGAAACGACUGCUAAUACCGCAUACGAUCUAAUCUCGGCAUCGAGGAUAGAUGAAAGGUGGCCUCUACAUGUAAGCUAUCACUGAAGGAGGGGAUUGCGUCUGAUUAGCUAGUUGGAGGGGUAACGGCCCACCAAGGCGAUGAUCAGUAGCCGGUCUGAGAGGAUGAACGGCCACAUUGGGACUGAGACACGGCCCAGACUCCUACGGGGGGCAGCAGUGGGGAAUCUUCCGCAAUGGACGAAAGUCUGACGGAGCAACGCCGCGUGAGUGAUGACGGCCUUCGGGUUGUAAAGCUCUGUUAAUCGGGACGAAAGGCCUUCUUGCGAAUAGUGAGAAGGAUGACG